GCCCGGAAUCAAAAAGAAAGGAACUCCCUCGCGUCCCUACCCGGGAGGAGCUCCCAUCCGAAUGGGGAGACAACAUAGAGAGGGACACACGUAAGCGACGGCCCAGCUCUGCCGCUCUUUGUUCGAAGUCUCCUUCCAGCCCCGACAUUGUCCAGAUCUCAGUGUUUUCCUCCGUCCUUCUUGUUGCUGAUUUUAGUUCCAAAACUCGGGCGCUGGGGGUGGGGGAGGGAAGCCAGCCGGGGCUCUAACCUUUGGGGGCUUUGCUCGGUCCUUUUAUCAUAGGUAACCAUUCAUCUCACUUCCCCGUUCCCGGUUUGUGUCAUUUGCAUUUUAAUUGGUGGGUCCCAGAGCAAAUUACCCAGAGAGAGCUUUUGAUCCUACCGCCCCUUGAACCCCGCUGGUGCCGCUGAGAUAAAUCUCCCUGGCCCCGACUGAGGCCAGUGAGCGCAGCUGCUGACAGGUGCCGGAUGCUCUCAGGGGAAAACGUUUCAUCAAUUAUCAUAAUUGACACCGAUAGCAGACAGCCGACUUAACAAAUAGCCAAAUGUGUUGCCAGGAGGAGGGGGAAAGAGCCCAAAUGGGUCACACUUGUGGAGAUGUCUCCUUGGGGGUCUCGGGAAGCUUAGCUCUGCUGUCAUUGACCAAUCAGAAGGGAGACUGACACGUGAAAUGCCACGAGGGCCAGCCAGAAGAGCUGCGUGGGCUUAGGGGUCUAGUUUUAGCUUUGGUGACCCAUGCUAGGCUGUACCACCUCUGGUAAGUCCCUCAUCGGGCUCAGACAGCUGGACUUGGAGACAGCAGGGUUCUGGGUUCCAAACGGCCCUGCUUCUGCCAUGUACAAGUUGUCCCAUCACAAGCCUACUAGAAGUUCAGACACUACUCAUGGGCCCAAAUUCCUCUGCUGA
rnacentral:lncRNA from 1 species